rnacentral:tRNA from 1 species
GCCGGGAUAGCUCAGCUGGUAGAGCAGGGGACUGAAAAUCCCCGUGUCGGCGGUUCAAUCCCGUCUCCCGGCACCA